rnacentral:lncRNA from 1 species
AUGCUUUCUGGCUCUUUUCUCUACCUCGGUCUUGGCAGCAGCGGCCACAGUGGGCGGGGGCGGCGGGGAGUGAGGCACGCCGGGAGGUACAGCCCCCCCCCCCCGCCCCACCCCGGGGUGCAGCCUCAGCGGGACGGUCCCCAGCCCUGGACAGAUGCAGUGUCCAACCUGAUGCCGCCCUCCAGCUUCUCCGCCAAGCCAGCUUCAGAUACCAAAAGAGAAGAAAGAAAACCAAGGCUGCUUGGACCAGAACCUAGUUCCACACCUGCCCGCAUCGUGCCAGCAGCUAAUGAUGCCUCCCGAUGGUCUGCCUCCCCCUGCUUUUCAGUUUGAGGGUCCCAGGGGGCAGGAGAUGUACAUCCAUAGUCAGCCCAGCCCUACCCACCCAUCCCCCUGACACAAAGCAGGAAACAGCCCCAAGACUCCAGUCUACUUGUUCGCACACACACCCUUUAACAAUCACUACCGACUGCCAACCACAGUUAUAAGAUUAUUGCAGAGGUGGGGCACCUGGGUGGCUCAGUCAUUAAGCGUCUGCCCAGGGUCCUGGGAUCGAGCCCCGCAUCGGGCUCCCUGCUCGGCGGGAAGCCUGCUUCUCCCUCUCCCGCUCCCCCUGCUUGUGUUCCCUCUCUCGCUGUGUUUCUCUCUGUCAGAUACAUAAAUAAAAUCUUUAAAAAAAAAACAAUUAUUGCAGAGAUGAGGCUGGGAAGUGCUGCUUGCUUCUCAAGAGUUUCUGCUCCUCAACCAGGCAGUGUCCCUCUUUUUUCUGCUCUGUCCCCUCCCAGGCACAAGGAACUAGGGCCAAGGACCUCAGGCUAAGAAGAUGUGAGUGUGCAAUGGGGGAGGAGGGACAGACUACACAUUGGUGCUGUGUCUGCAUGAGCCUCCAAUACGUGCCCCAUCUGUCACAUCAUUAAACUUGUUGCCAAAUGGCCAUGACAGUAGCAGCCUAAACGAAGUGUGAUAUCGGGAGUUUUGUUUAUUUCACUCUUUCUCCCCAUUCAUUGCUAGCAAAUUUCUCCCUCCCUAUCCUUUCUGCCUGCCCACUGAGCAUGUAUCCCAAUGGGCUUGCCUGACAUACAGGUUUGACACAGAAGGAGGCCCAGAGAUGUUCUGGAGAGACUCCCAGUCUGUUUCAGUUUCAGCCCUUUCCCUGUCCUCUGCAUCUCUGCAGCUGGAGGAGAGGUCCUUCACCUUCCAAGAGGACCCACUGCAGAAAUCCCAGCCUAGGACACCCAGCUCCUUCC